rnacentral:rRNA from 1 species
UGUGGCAUUCGAGUGGCGGACGGGUGAGUAACGCGUGGGUAACCUGCCUUACACAGGGGGAUAACACCUGGAAACAGGUGCUAAUACCGCAUAAGCGCACAGGGCCGCAUGGCCCGGUGUGAAAAACUCCGGUGGUGUAAGACGGACCCGCGUCUGAUUAGCUUGUUGGCGGGGUAGGGGCCCACCAAGGCGACGAUCGGUAGCCGGCCUGAGAGGGUGGACGGCCACAUUGGGACUGAGACACGGCCCAAACUCCUACGGAAGGCAGCAG